GUAUUGUUGCUACCUGAUGCAU
rnacentral:misc_RNA from 1 species